UAAGAUCUUUUGAUGAAAUCUGAGAGGUUUUUUUUUAUCCCCAUAGAAAGCAAUGAAAUGACAACAUUCAAGGUCCAGAAAGGUACUAAAGACAUCAUUAAAAUAGUCAAGGUGACUGCAGUGGUUCAACCUUAAUUUUAUGAAGCGACGAGAAUACUUUUUGUGCGCAAAAACAAAAAUGACUUUAACUAACAGACGUGAUCCACAGAUCCAGCUGACACAGCAUCAGAAACUGAAGUCAGUGUGACUGCUGGAUCAUUAUUCAGAGUGAUUGUGAUCAUUGUUGAGAUGGCAGUGUUUGCUGCUCCUACUGUGAUUCUUCUUCAGAUCAUCUGUGCAAGAAGAGCUGGGAGGAAGGACUCGCAGCACCCAGAGGAAAUAGAGAUGCCUACAAUAUUACAAUAAAAUACUGCUGAGUUUGGAGACAAUCUGAAACAAGAUUUAAGUCAAGUCAAGUCACUUCAUUUAACGCCCCCCAAAAAAGCGUGUCUUAACCCAUUUUGCGACAUGGCUGCAGUUGU